rnacentral:rRNA from 1 species
GCAAGACCUUGCGCGAAUGGAGCGGCCGAUGGCAGAUUAGGUAGUUGGUGAGGUAAAGGCUCACCAAGCCUUCGAUCUGUAGCUGGUCUGAGAGGACGACCAGCCACACUGGGACUGAGACACGGCCCAGACUCCUACGGGAGGCAGCAGUGGGGAAUUUUGGACAAUGGGCGAAAGCCUGAUCCAGCCAUGCCGCGUGCAGGAUGAAGGCCUUCGGGUUGUAAACUGCUUUUGUACGGAACGAAACGGCCUUUUCUAAUAAAGAAGGCUAAUGACGGUACCGUAAGAAUAAGCACCGGCUAACUACGUGCCAGCAGCCGCGGUAAUACGUAGGGUGCAAGCGUUAAUCGGAAUUACUGGGCGUAAAGCGUGCGCAGGCGGUAAUGUAAGACAGUUGUGAAAUCCCCGGGCUCAACCUGGGAACUGCAUCUGUGACUGCAUUG